rnacentral:rRNA from 1 species
GACGAACGCUGGCGGCGUGCUUAACACAUGCAAGUCGAGCGGUAAGGCCCUUUCGGGGGUACACGAGCGGCGAACGGGUGAGUAACACGUGGGUGACCUGCCCUCAGCUCUGGGAUAAGCCUGGGAAACCGGGUCUAAUACCGGAUAUGACUCCAUGACGCAUGUUGUGGGGUGGAAAGCCUUGUGCGGCUGAGGAUGGGCCCGCGGCCUAUCAGCUUGUUGGUGGGGUGANGGCCUACCAAGGCGACGACGGGUAGCCGCCUGAGAGGCGACCGGCCACACUGGGACUGAGACACGGCCAGACUCCUACGGGAGGCAGCAGUGGGGAAUCUUGCGC